AGAGUUUGAUCAUGGCUCAGGACGAACGCUGGCGGCAUGCCUAACACAUGCAAGUCGAACGAAGGCUUCGGCCUUAGUGGCGCACGGGUGAGUAACGCGUGGGAAACUGCCUAUCGGUGGGGAAUAACGACGGGAAACUGUCGCUAAUACCGCAUACGCCCUUUUGGGGAAAGAUUUAUCGCCGAUAGAUGUGCCCGCGU
rnacentral:rRNA from 1 species